GCUGGGCACAGUGGCAGGUGCCUGUAGUUCCAGCUACUUGGGAGGGUGAGGUGGAAGGAUCGCUUGAGCCCAGGAGUUCUGGGCUGUAGUGCGCUAUGCCAAUCAGGUGUCCGCACCAAGUUCGGUAUCAAUAUGGUGACCUCCUGGGAAUGGGGAACACCAGGUUGCCUAAGGAGGGGUGAACUGGCCCAGCUUGGAAGCAGAGCAGGUCAAAACUCUUGUGCUGAUCAGUAGUGGGAUGAUGCCUGUGAAUAGCCAUUGCACUCAGGCCUGGGCAACAUAGCAAUACCCUAUCGCU
rnacentral:SRP_RNA from 1 species